rnacentral:lncRNA from 1 species
CAAUGUGUUGUACAUAGUAACCCUUUGAAAACAGUUUUGUACUCACUCAAAAAACAUUUCUUUAUGGAGGAUCAAAGUUCAUGAUCAAAUGAACUGAACUACUUGUUCUUGGCAGGGAACAGCUCCCUCAGAGGCCCAACCAGGAUGAGGCAGAGCCUUUCAAGAGAGAUAAAGGAAAACAGACUAUUGAAUUUGGCAGUUUAAUUCUACACACAUAGUUGAAUGUGGAUAUAUCUGAUAUGGGAGAUGUUUUCAGGAGGACAAUGAAGAUGCAUACUGAAGCCAGCCCCCGUGGGUUCAUCUUUACAGCAUCUGAAACUAGGACAAGAGCCAAAUUUUCCAAAAUGCCAGAAGGGGUAACAAAGAAGUAACCAGUUGGAAGCUGAGGACUGGCAAAGUUCAAGACAAAAAUGGUAAGUUUUGUUUUAAUAUAGAGUAAGUUUAUUUAGAAAAAUCAGUGAUUGCUAAUAUUGGAGUCCAAUGAGAAAAAGUAUGUAAAUAGUACCUGAGAAAUUACAUUUCUUGAAAAUCUGCUCUAUUUUUUUUUACAUUCAUUUAACAGCUAUUUAUUGGGUUCUUACUACAUAUUGGGCACUAUAC